AUUGAACGCUGGCGGCAGGCCUAACACAUGCAAGUCGAGCGAGCGGCGGACGGGUGAGUAAUGUAUGGGGACUGCCCGAUAGAGGGGGAUAACUACUGGAAACGGUAGCUAAUACCGCAUACCAUCAGAUAGCCCAUAUGGGAUUAGCUAGUAGGUGGGGUAACGGCUCACCUAGGCGACGAUCCCUAGCUGGUCUGAGAGGAUGACCAGCCACACGGGAACUGAGACACGGUCCAGACUCCUACGGAGGCAGCAGUGGGGAAGAUUGCACAAUGGGCGCAAGCCUGAUGCAGCCAUGCCGCGUGUGUGAAGAAGGCCGUAGGGUUGUAAAGUACUUUCAGAGGGGAGGCGUUACCGGCAGAAGAAGCACCGGCUAACUCCGUGCCAGCAGCCGCGGUAAUAC
rnacentral:rRNA from 1 species